CUGCGGCUGCCAGCUUGGUGCUCUCAGAACUCCAUCCCCCGCCGGCCCCCGCGACCUAGGCCUUUGCCUUUUCCUGUCCAGGGGACUUAGAAGCCUCGCUGUGGCAAGUUGAGAAGAUUGGGGAAGGGGUGUACUCCUUCCCGCCAAACGCUCUGAGUUUCUGGGCUUGGCCUGCUCAGGACUGACUUCUUUAGUGCUUAGAGUCUGAGAAAAACGGCAAAUAUGGAUAGUGAUCCUAGGCAUCUUCUCACCCCUGAGGGAGAUCAUGAAAUAAAUCCUGGACCUGUGAAUAUCCAGUUUGAUUCAUCAGAUAUAAGAUCUAAAAGGAGAUUCAUCUCCAAAUGAAGAGGAACUUCUAAUGUAUAUGUCCUAUUUCAAAUUUUCUUCUCACCCGUAAGACAUCGUUGAGCGAUCCGGUUGCUGCCACCACCCAGCCUCAUCACGAUCACCUCCCACAGAAGGAACCCAGCUUCCCAAAGCCCCAAACCACCCUGACUCAGGAACUGACACUUGAGGGCUCCUCCUGGAACCCCACCGCCCCGCCACGUGUUGCCUUGUUCUGUGGGACCAGGGGACGUCUCUCCACCUUCCUCAUGUGACUGCAGCUCAUCACUCCAGGUGUGGGGGUGCCCUGCUUUUCCCACUGCUAACACGGCCUGUCACAGAAAUCAGACUCCGUAAAGUUCUGUGGAAUAAAUGAGCCAGGGAGCAGGGCCUUAUUUAGUCAGAUUAGUUUUCUCCUACUUUCUUUUUUUUCCCCUACUUUCUUAAAUAAUAACCUGGGAAAAUCCAAAUAAAGUGAGAUAGCUUAACAGUAUAAAGUGACAGACAAAAAGUAUAAGAAGCAAGACUUCGCUAUAAUCACAUUUUAUUUUCUAAUUCUUUCACCAAGUACAUUACUGCUAAGUAAGUUCACAUUUCCAAAACAGUUAUAAUUCCAUUCUCAUGUUACCAUGUUCAGGGUCACAAAAUAAAUGGGAGAGUUCCCAGACUCUUUUAAAAACCA